AGGUUUGAGAGGAUCCGCUGAGCCUGUUGGACACCCUUCCUCUGUCUUGUAUUUUUGCUGAGCUCUCUCAAGUUUCGAAGGCAGCAGAAGGUCUCGCUAGUGAGUCCACAGGACUUCUUUGUUUCUGUGAAGCAUUGCUGUGGUUUGCAGUCAGUCUCCCCGAUGGCCAGCAAGCCUUACCUCAUUCACUUCUAUGACCAUGGAUGCUAGCCCUCAUGUUGGCAGCACCCCAGUACCCACUCUAUGAAAGUCCAUUCUUAAAGUUAGAAAAAUAAUUUAUUUGGCUUUUCACAACUUAGUAUCAUACAUGUAUAAGAGAAGAAAAGAAGACUGUAGGAAUAUGUCCUUGGAGAUACCAUUGAAAGUGGAAAUAUUUUGGGGGCAUCCUGGACAACCACUUUCUAUCAAUCUGUGUAUCUUUGAAUAGAGUCAAAAUAUGUCUUUGCAAAGUAUUUUAGUCUUUUGUGAAACAUUUUCUAAUUAUGCCAAAGGGACAACAUUAGCAAGUCUGACUGAGUCAAAGGAGACAAUACUGAUUUUCUGCCGAAGCGCACUUCUGAAGGUGAUUGGGAGAUCCUCCAAGAAGAGCCAAGAAAGGAACUGAUUCUUAAGAGACGAUGGGGCUCCUAUAAGCAGUUGUGAUUGCAUUUAUGGGAUAGAAGAUAGUAGUCUGGUUUUUUUUUUUUUUUUUAACAGUUUGCUUGUUUAUUUAUUUCCCAAGAGGGAGACAGAGAAAGACACUCUCAAUAGGUUCUCUCACUAUGAUCCUUCCCCACAGAUUUUCUCAGCCCCUCAGGAUCAUGAGGGUACGUCUAUGUUCUUGUCAGCCUGGAAACUGAAACCUGAUCUUCUACAUGGUUUCCAGCAUUGCAGGGGAUUGUGCUACUACUGUGCCACUGCACUUGGGCAGACAGUGUCUCUCUAUUAAAAAGUGUGAGAUUUAUGAUGUUUUAGACCUUCCUGACCAUGACAUAUGGCUAUUCUGUAUGUGAGAAGAAUGAACUACUUUGUGUAAAUUUGAUAAAUGAAUAAUCUUGGAAGGAGUGUGUUUGUUAAAAUGACUAUCGCUCUGGGGGCCAGCAGGUGGCGUGGUGGCUAAGGUUCUAGACUCCCACAUGAUUGACCACAGUUCAAGCCCCAUACCUGGCAGCUUGCUUUCUCUCUCUCUCUCGUCAAAUUGAAUAAUAAUAAUAAUUUAAUUAAAUGAAAUAAUUGAAAAAAUACAACUAUAGCUAUUCCAGGGGUUUUCAAAAACUUCAUGGAAAAUGUGUAUUAUGAAAAACUAUGCAUUUAAAAAUUUCUUGUGCCAAAAAUAAACUUGUACUCUUAAUUCCA